rnacentral:rRNA from 1 species
UGGGGAAUUUUGGACAAUGGGCGCAAGCCUGAUCCAGCCAUGCCGCGUGCGGGAAGAAGGCCUUCGGGUUGUAAACCGCUUUUGUCAGGGAAGAAAAGGUUCUGGCUAAUACCUGGGACUCAUGACGGUACCUGAAGAAUAAGCACCGGCUAACUACGUGCCGGCAGCCGCGGUAAUACGUAGGGUGCAAGCGUUAAUCGGAAUUACUGGGCGUAAAGCGUGCGCAGGCGGUUAUGCAAGACAGAGGUGAAAUCCCCGGGCUCAACCUGGGAACUGCCUUUGUGACUGCAUGGCUAGAGUACGGUAGAGGGGGAUGGAAUUCCGCGUGUAGCAGUGAAAUGCGUAGAUAUGCGGAGGAACACCGAUGGCGAAGGCAAUCCCCUGGACCUGUACUGACGCUCAUGCACGAAAGCGUGGGGAGCAAACAGGAUUAGAUACCCUGGUAGUCCACGCCCUAAACGAUGUCAACUGGUUGUUGGGAGGGUUUCUUCUCAGUAACGUAGCUAACGCGUGAAGUUGACCGCCUGGGGAGUACGGCCGCAAGGUUG